rnacentral:rRNA from 1 species
AUGAUCUGGCCUCAUUCUCCUUUUGGUCGUUUUUCAGUUAAAUCCUUGUAUUCUAGGCUCAUCGGAGGUUCCCCUUCUAAUAGAUUUUCCUGCAUCUGGCGGUCCAAAGUUCCUCCUAAGAUUAAAAUCUUCCUCUGGCAGGCCUUUAGAGGUCGUCUGCCUGCGGCCGACCAAAUUCGUAAGCGGAACGGGCCGGGAUCGGCUUUCUGUGCCCUAUGCGGUGUCGCAGAGGAUACGAACCAUAUCUUUUUUCAUUGUGUGUUGGCUAAGCUGGUCUGGAGCUGUGUCCGCUCAUGGCUCCAGGUUUCUUGGAAUCCCUCCUCCUUUCAUAACCUGAGAAACCUUGCCAGCUCGCUGGUUGGGGUGACUAAGAGGAUUUUCUGGGUUGGCCUGGGUGCAAUUUGCUGGUCUUUGUGGACGAUUAGGAACAAAUUUACGAUCGAGCACGUCUUCCCAUCUAAGGCUGUUGACGUUCUUUUCAAAUCUUGUAUCUUCUUGCAGCAGUGGAGAUCAUUGACUAAGAAGGACGACUGGGGAGCGCUGGACCUGCUCAUAUAUAAAAUUCGGGCCUCGGCGUCUUCUAUUUCUGGACAGGACCCUGGCGCCUGA